GCGGCAUAUGGAGGUUCCCAGGCUAGGGGUUGAAUCAGAGCUGUAGCCAUCGGCCUACGCCAGAGCCACAGCAACAUGGGAUCCCAGCCGCAUCUUUGACCCACGCCACAGCUCACGGCAUCGCCAGAUCCUUAGCCCACUGAGCAAGGCCAGGGCUCAAACCAGCAACCUCAUGGUUCCUAGUCGGAUUUAUUCACCACUGAGCCAUGACAGGAACUCCUAAUUGAAUAACUUUUAAAAAUCUCAUUUUAAUUCAUUUAUUUGCUUUUAGUUAUACUUCUUAGCAUUUAUUUUGUUUUGUAUUUUUAUUUUUUGGCUAUGCCCACAGCAUGUAUAAGUUGCCGGGUCAGUGACUGAACCCCACCACAGCAUGGAUCCUUAACCCACUGAGCAAGGCCAGUGAUUGAACCUGCGACCUCAUGGUUCCUAGUCAGAUUGGUUUCCAUUGCGCCAUGACCGGAACUCUGGGGUUGAAUAAUUUUUGAUCUGUUUUCAAAUUCUUCUCUCAACUCCAAUCUGCUGUUAAACUCAUUCAGUCAGUUUUUUUUAUUUCUGAUACUUUUUAGUUCUACAGUACCCCUUUUUUGCUCCUAGAUUCCCUGAUUUUCAGUCUGUUGAUUCAUUAUGAGCAUAGUUUUUACAAUCUGUGUUUCAUAUAUAUGUAUUUUUUCUUUUCAGAUUCUUUUCCCCUUAUAGAUUAUUAUAAAAUAUUGAGUACAGUUCCUUAUGCUAUACAGUAGGUCCCUGUUGAUUAUCUUUUACAUAUGGUAGUAUGUACAUGUUAAUCCCAAACUCCUCAUUUAUCUCUCCUUCCCUCUUCCCCUUUGGUAACCGUAAGUUUGUCUUCUAUGUCUGUGGUUCUGUUUUGUUUAUAAGUUCAUUUGUGUCAUUUUUCUUUUUAGAUUCCAUAUAUAAGUGAUACCAUAUGAUAUUUGUCUUUGGUUUGCUUUACUUAAUCUCUGGGUCCAUCCAUGUUGCUACAAAUGGCAUUAUUUCACUCUUUGAGGUUUGUUUGUUUUUUUUUUUUCAGGGCUGAACUCAUGGCAUAUGGACAUUCCCAGGCUAGGGGUUGAAUUGGAGCUAUAGCUGCUGCCAUAGCCACAGCAACUUGAGAUUCAAGCCGCAUCUGCCACCUAUACCACAGCUCAUGGCAGUGCCAGAUCCUUAACCCACUGAGUGGGGCCAGAGAUUGAACCCACGUCCUCAUGCAUGCUAGUCAGGUUUGUUACUGCUGAGCCACAAUGGGGACUCCAAACAUAGUGGAUUUUUUUGUUUGUUUGUUUUUGUCUUUUUUGUCUUUUCUAAGGCCAUACCUGCGGCACAUGGAGGUUCCCAGGCUAGGUGUCUAGUCAGAGCUGUAGCUGCUGGCCUAUGCCAGAGCCACAGCAACUUGGGAUCUGAGCCACAUCUGCGACCUACGCCACAGCUCACAGCAACGCCGGAUCCUUAACCCACUGAGCAAGGCCAGGGAUCAAACCCUCGACCUCAUGGUUCCUAGUCAGAUUCAUUAACCACUGAUUCACAAAGGGAACUCCAUCCAAGCAUAGUUUUAAUAGGUGCUUUAAACUCCUUUUCUGUCAGUUCCAGCAUCUGGUUUAUCCUGAAGUUCAUUUCUACUGAUUGGACUUUUCUCUUAACUGCAAGUCAUAUUUUCCUUUCCUUUUAUCUGUGUAAUAUUUUGGAUUAUAUUCUGUGCAUUUUGAGUGAUAAGUUGUAGUUUGGAUUAUGUUACAUUCCUCUGAAGAAUAAUGAUUUCUUUCUUUUAAAGGGAAGUUCUUUGGCUGAACCCAAAUUCCAAAUUCUUUUCCUUGGCAAUGGGCAGCAUCUGAAACCUCUGUUCUUCCUUCCUUCCCAUGUGUGGAGAGUAUGAGCUCUGUAGUUCCUAAAGCAGAGCUUCUUCAGUGUGUAUGAGUCCAGAGGAAAAAUGAGGAACCUCCUGGAGAUUUGUGGGUGCCCCUUUUCCCUGGAGAGGAAUAUGUGGACAGAGUUUUAGCCAGAGGCUCAGGGAAGUAGUAAAGGGUAAAUGAAAUUGUCUUCUUGCAUGAAAGGUUAGGGCAUGCAAGGGAGAAGCAAAGCUGCAAAUGUGAACGUGUAAGCACUUGUAGCAUGUCUUUUUCUGCUCAGUUUGGUUAGAAUGUCCUAUUGACCUGCUAAAUGCUAGGUGGUGUGCCUAUAGGCGUCAGUGAUUAAGUUCAGUCAGACUUGGUGCCUGUCCAUCUUAACCUGGGAGGCAUGACAUUUAAUUGAACCUUAAUGGAUGUGUGGCACUGUCCCCUGAGUUAUAGAUGGGUCUAGGUAUUCCACCAGAGGAGGCAAUAUGAACAGGGUUGUAGCAGAUCUCUUAUUAGGCUAUUUCAAAUGGAGAGGAGAGAGUCAAAUAUUUAGUGAUUCUGUAUUUUGACACUGUGAACUUGUGACUUUAAUAUAAGCUGUCAUGAAAUCUAUUCACUUUUAUCUUCAUUUGUGUUAUACUAAAUGUAAAUCUAAUGUAUAUAUUUAAUAAAGAUUUGAAAUUCUUUGCCUUUCUUCUGAUAAGGCAAAUUCAAGCAGAAGUAAUUUAGAUUAUAAAUAGAAAAAAUGUACACCGUUAAAAGGUUAAUGGCAUUUAAAUAGUUUUGAUUUUAUAGUGUGGUCAUUUAUAAGACUUAUAUACCAUAAUGUCUACAGAAUUGUAUACUUUUAUUUUGAUUUCAAUUUGGGGGGAAGGCGUAGUUUCUUCUUUGUGGGGUGGUGUGUUUGGUCACAUACUGUGUAGUUAACAUAUAUACAGAGCAGAGCAGCUCUUUGAAAAUAGUAAACUGAAAGUACUCAAAUAUCACUCCCGGCUCAUCCUUGGUACCUUUAGGUUGGUCUGCUGUUCCACUUGGUCCAGAGUGUUGUGCCUCAGCCUCAUGGGCUUUUGGGUACAAGGCAUCUCCCUUUUCUUGCCGAGCUUCCUCUCAGUGGCAAGGCUUCUGUCCUCCCAACCUACUUUCUGUCCGUGGAGAAAGUUAUUAGAUGUGAUGUACAAAUUAGGUGGAAAUUUUAUCUCAGAAUUUAGAAGUCUGUUUUGGCAUAGAGAACUCUGUAUGAGAGCCAUAUCCCUUAUAAUCCAGCAGACUAAGCUCUUUGUUAUGUUGCCUUAAGGGUGGUGAUAUGACAUCACUUGAAAUUGGCAGUGAAUGGUUCCUAUAUCACUAGGAAAUAUGUUGUACAGAUGAGAUGAGUGAGGGGACUAGGUUAGAGGCUAAAACCCAGUGCCUGUUUUAAAGUUUGCACACACAUACAGUUUCUCUCUCGGGUCAGUUAAUUUAGCUGAAUCUCUGGUUUAUGGAGAAGAUAGAAAUAAGAUGAAGUCAGGGUAGGACAGGUCUUGGGAAAGGAUGAUGGCAAGAUUUUAUGUUGUCUUGCUUAUUUAGAUUACAUAGAGGAUUUUCUAGGGAAUAAUUUUGAAACCACUGAAAGUAACUACAGCACUUGCCCAUUUUCCUCUACCUAAUGGUAGAGGUCCGAUUACCUUAAUCUUGAGCUGGGAGAAGUAAGUGCAGCAUGGAUCCCAUUACAUUCAAAAGAGUACUCUUUGAAAUAGGCUCUAAGCUGUUUGCUUUCAUGACUAAAAUGCUAGAGGAGAAUGCAGUUGGAAUUGUUUUACUUGGGUAAGCAUUUAUUUAUUAUGUAAAACAGAAAUAGAAUGGAUGCCCUUAGAAGUUCAGAAAUCUCAGAUCAUUCUCUAAAUCUGGGCCCAGGCUAUUUAGCCAUUUACAAUAACCAGAGCUGCUUGAAAUGGGCUAUAGUCCAUUCAUUCACUUUAGUCAACAAAAUAUGCCUACUAAGUGCCAGACUCUAUUGUAAGCUAUGUCAUUUGUGAAUAUUCUACAUGAACCACAGAAUAAGUAAGAUAGAAGACCUAAUAGAAGUACAGGCUUAUUCAGCAAAUUUUUUUUCUUUUUUUUUUAACUAAGUACCUGUUAGAAAUGGGACAUUGCCACAUGGUCUUGAGUCCCAUUGUUGUAUUGUCAGUUAUAAAAUGAAUAGAAAAUUACUUGUCCUGAAGUAUUAAAUGUUUGCAGGUAAUUUACUUAUGAAUUAACCAGGUUAAUUUCAGCAUAAUGCAUAUAAUGCCUUUUGCAGAUUAUUUAUUUUUAAAUUAACUUUGUCUGCUUCAGUGUAACGCCUACAAUAGUUCAGGUUUCAGGAACUUGUGUUCUCUAUGUUUUCUUGAGUAGGUUAAUCAUAGAAUUAUAGCCAUUGUAGUUUGGGAAGUUGGGAGUUUCUAUGGUCUGUCAUCAGACAUGUUCUGAUGAAACAUUGGCUGACAAUUUAUUGUUGCAGGGGUUAGAGAAAUGAAAAAUACAUCUGGUCAGUGCCCUUUCAGGUCUUUCUGUCCAGAGGAAGGAAUAAGACUGCAGGUACCUGUAUUACAAGAGAGAAAGUAAGGUGAUGUCCUGAGAAAUACUUAAAAUAAAACUAUGGGAGAGACAACUGACAGUGAUAUGCUUCCCUGCCAUGUGGAGGUUGACUUCAGGAUUUGCUUGUUGAACCCUUUCUAUAUGCCUGGGAGCUCUGCUAACUGCCAGAUAUACAAGGAUGAAUGGGGCCCUUGUGGUCUUUGUGUUUAUUAAAUGCUGUUUGGAUCUAACUCUGGAGAGAGGUGACACUUAGGUUGGUGGUUUGGGGGAAGGAGUGGAAGAGUAUGAGACUAACACAGGGCCUUGAAGGAUGAGUGGUAGUUAGGCAUUUGCAGAUGGAGGUAGAGAGCAGCGUCAACACAUAAUCAUAGAGUCUUUUCUGAGACUGUUAGGUGUGCUUUCUGACUUAACUGCAGUCUUCCCAAAGUGGAUUAAGACUGAGAAGGUAAGUCAUUGUCAAAUUGAGGUCAUUUGCUUUGAGUUGUCUUUUUUUUUUUUUUUAAUGGCAUUAUUGAAAAUGCUUCAUGGAGUUCCUGUCGUGGCACAGCAGAAACGAAUCCGUCUGGGAACCACGAGGUUUUGUGUUCAAUCCCUGGCCUUGCUCAGUGGGUUAAAGAUUGGUUGUUGCCAUGAGUGAGUCGCAGAUGAGACUUGGAUCUGGCAUUGCUGUGGCUGUGGCAUAGGCCAGCAGCUGUAGCUCCAAUUAGACUCCUAGCCUGGGAACCU
rnacentral:lncRNA from 9 species